UGGGGAAUCAUGGUCAAUGGGCGAAAGCCUGAACCUGCGACGCCGCGUGAGUGAUGAAGGUCGUAAGAUCGUAAAACUCUUUUCAGGGAUCUUAAAGCCUGUCUGUCAACAACAGGCAGGUCUGACUCUCCCUGGAAGAAGCCCCAGCCAACUACGUGCCAGCAGCUGCGGUAAUACGUAGGGGGCGAGCGUUAUUCGGAAUUAAUGGGUGUAAAGGGUAUGUAGGCGGCCCUUCAAGUCGCGUGUCAAAGUCCAGUGCUCAACGCUGGGUGGGCACGCGAUACUGACGGGCUUGGGGGCUGGAGAGGUGAGCGGAUUUCCCGGUGUAGUGGUAAAAUACGUAGAGAUCGGGAGGAACACCAGCGGCGCAGGCGGCUCACUAGACAGUUUCUGACGCUAAGAUACGAAAGCGUGGGGAGCAAACA
rnacentral:rRNA from 1 species